CAGAUGGACAAAUGCUAGAGUCAGCACCUGUCUGUGGGGGCGCCCUUGGCCUGGGCGCUGGACCUAGGCCAUCAGGACUGGAGAGCCUUCUUCUCUUCUGGCCAGAGAAAGAGCAAAGGGUGGCUUCCUGACAGGUCCGGAGCUGGCACAGCACAACAGAGCCUAGAAAAUCACUAGCAGGGCUGAGCUCGGGGUUCCACCGCUGCAGCCUUCCUGUUGGACCCAGUCUGCUCAAGGACUCCCUCACAGCCCAGUGCUUUCUGUUCACCCCGGGGCGCUCCCAGCCCAGCCUCCUAGCCUCAAGCCGGGCACGACAGCUGCGGGCACAGGGAGCAAUCGCCUGGAGCCAGAGGGGGCAACGCCAGCCCAAGGGCAAAUGGGCAACCCUGUGCAAAAGGCUCUGGCAACCAGAUCAUCUACUUUAGAAGAAAGGAGAAGAAAAAGAGCCCCCAGGAGAGGAAGUAGCCCCUAACCCGACUGACAAGCAAUCCGUUCGCAAAGACAGAAGGGCCUUCAGUGAAUUGGUUUCAAAGUGCUUGAUUUCUUAAAACCAGAACAAUUGAUCAUUAGAGAACUGAUUAAGCUACAGCCGCUGUUGAAUAAAAGGUAAAAAUAAA
ensembl:lncRNA novel transcript